GCCCACUCCUCAGAAGCCCAGCACAGCUCCCAGUGUCUCCUAGCACGUAGACCCAGUGUAAUCACAAGCAUCCUUGUAAGUGGCAAAGAGGCAGAGGAGACAGCGCCAGAGAGGCAGCUGCAUGAGAAGGAUCAAGAUGUUGCUGACUUUGAAGUUGGAAGAAGAAGGCCAUGAGCCUCAGUAUGUGGGCGGCUUCUAGAAGCUGGAAGGGGCAAGGAGAUGGAUUUGACCCUUCAGCCUCCAGGGGCAGCUGUACCUGCCAUCACUGAUUGUAGCCUGGUGAGGCCUGUUUUAGACUUCUGACCUGUAGAGCUGUAACAUAAUACAUUUGGGUUGUUUUCAACCACUAAGUUUGUGGUAAUUUGUUGUAGCAGCUGUAGAAAAUGAAUACAUAUGAAUCCUCUGGCAUUUGUUUGAGAUUUGCUCUAUGGCCUAGUAUGUGGUUGUAAAUGUUCCAUCUGUGCCUGAAAAAAUGUAUAUUUCUAAUUCAGUAGUCUCUGCUUUUUUUUUUUAUUUUGUACCCCAUCAAUAAAAUGAUUUUCAG
rnacentral:lncRNA from 1 species